rnacentral:misc_RNA from 1 species
AUGUUCAGAAAUGUAUAAGAUCUCAUAUACAUACACUAGGCUACAUAUGCACGAAUGGACUGAACAAACUCAUCAAUCCGUUUCCUUAUCUCCUCAGGAUUGGCUCCCACCAACCUGUCAACUUGUGCACCAUCCUUCAUCAACACAAAUGUAGGCAUGGCCUUUACUUCCAGUUUAGAAGCCACCUCCUUAACUUCAUCCACAUCAACAGCCAGAAACAGGACAUCUGGAUAAGCUGAGGCUAAUUCCUCAAAGAAAGGGUUCAUGGCCACCGAGGGAAUACACCAUGAAGCAGUAAAGUGCACAACAAUAGGGCAGGCUUGAUUGUUGGCUUGGGUAACAUAGAAGUCCCAUGACUCUACCGAGUCCACCUUUACAACUCUUGAUUUAGUUUGCUGGUCUUGAGUCUCUAUCUCUUCCCCUUUCUUCUUCAUCUUGUGGUGGUUUCUUUUCUCCUUCCCUAGAGAAGUUUGUAAUUCUUGUUCUAGAUUAUAGACACUAGUAUAUCUUUCUUGCUUCUUUGGUCUACCAGAAGACCAGAUUAACCCAAAAUAUGAAUGGCUUCCUAUUCGACCAACUUGUGUCCCCGGACCUAUCUAAGCCUAGCUGGAAAGAGUAGAGACAAUAUGUCCAUUGUCA